rnacentral:rRNA from 1 species
AGGACGAACGCUGGCGGCGUGCUUAACACAUGCAAGUCGAACGAGGCGCUUGCGCCUAGUGGCGAACGGGUGAGUAACACGUGAGCAACCUGCCCUUGGCUCUGGGAUAGCCUCCGGAAACGGGGAUUAAUACCGGACAUGACCUUCUCCUGCAUGGGGGAGGGUGGAAAGUUUUUCGGCCAGGGAGGGGCUCGCGGCCUAUCAGCUUGUUGGGGGGGUAACGGCCCACCAAGGCGACGACGGGUAGCCGGCCUGAGAGGGCGACCGGCCACACUGGGACUGGGACACGGCCCAGACUCCUACGGGAGGCAGCAGUGGGGAAUAUUGCACAAUGGGGGAAACCCUGAUGCAGCGACGCCGCGUGCGGGAUGAAGGCCUUCGGGUUGUAACCGCUUUCAGCAGGGGCGAAUUCAGACGGUACCUGCAGAAGAAGCGCCGGCUAACUACGUGCCAGCAGCCGC